UCCAGACUCCUACGGGAGGCAGCAGUGGGGAAUAUUGCACAAUGGGGGAAACCCUGAUGCAGCGACGCCGCGUGAGUGAAGAAGUAUUUCGGUAUGUAAAGCUCUAUCAGCAGGGAAGAAGAUGACGGUACCUGAUUAAGAAGCCCCGGCUAACUACGUGCCAGCAGCCGCGGUAAUACGUAGGGGGCAAGCGUUAUCCGGAUUUACUGGGUGUAAAGGGAGCGUAGACGGCAGCACAAGUCUGGAGUGAAAUGCCGGGGCUUAACCCCGGAACUGCUUUGGAAACUGUGCAGCUAGAGUGUAGGAGAGGUAAGUGGAAUUCCUAGUGUAGCGGUGAAAUGCGUAGAUAUUAGGAGGAACACCAGUGGCGAAGGCGGCUUACUGGACUGUAACUGACGUUGAGGCUCGAAAGCGUGGGGAGCAAACAGGAUUAGAUACCCCCGUAA
rnacentral:rRNA from 1 species